GCCCCUUUGCGGCAGGCUACCAUGCAGUCGAGCGGUAGCACAGAGAGCUUGCUCUCGGGUGACGAGCGGCGGACGGGUGAGUAAUGUCUGGGAAACUGCCUGAUGGAGGGGGAUAACUACUGGAAACGGUAGCUAAUACCGCAUAAUGUCGCAAGACCAAAGAGGGGGACCUUCGGGCCUCUUGCCAUCAGAUGUGCCCAGAUGGGAUUAGCUAGUAGGUGGGGUAACGGCUCACCUAGGCGACGAUCCCUAGCUGGUCUGAGAGGAUGACCAGCCACACUGGAACUGAGACACGGUCCAGACUCCUACGGGAGGCAGCAGUGGGGAAUAUUGCACAAUGGGCGCAAGCCUGAUGCAGCCAUGCCGCGUGUAUGAAGAAGGCCUUCGGGUUGUAAAGUACUUUCAGCGGGGAGGAAGGUGUUGAGGUUAAUAACCUCAGCAAUUGACGUUACCCGCAGAAGAAGCACCGGCUAACUCCGUGCCAGCAGCCGCGGUAAUACGGAGGGUGCAAGCGUUAAUCGGAAUUACUGGGCGUAAAGCGCACGCAGGCGGUCUGUCAAGUCGGAUGUGAAAUCCCCGGGCUCAACCUGGGAACUGCAUUCGAAACUGGCAGGCUAGAGUCUUGUAGAGGGGGGUAGAAUUCCAGGUGUAGCGGUGAAAUGCGUAGAGAUCUGGAGGAAUACCGGUGGCGAAGGCGGCCCCCUGGACAAAGACUGACGCUCAGGUGCGAAAGCGUGGGGAGCAAACAGGAUUAGAUACCCUGGUAGUCCACGCCGUAAACGAUGUCGACUUGGAGGUUGUGCCCUUGAGGCGUGGCUUCCGGAGCUAACGCGUUAAGUCGACCGCCUGGGGAGUACGGCCGCAAGGUUAAAACUCAAAUGAAUUGACGGGGGCCCGCACAAGCGGUGGAGCAUGUGGUUUAAUUCGAUGCAACGCGAAGAACCUUACCUACUCUUGACAUCCAGAGAACUUUCCAGAGAUGGAUUGGUGCCUUCGGGAACUCUGAGACAGGUGCUGCAUGGCUGUCGUCAGCUCGUGUUGUGAAAUGUUGGGUUAAGUCCCGCAACGAGCGCAACCCUUAUCCUUUGUUGCCAGCGGUCCGGCCGGGAACUCAAAGGAGACUGCCAGUGAUAAACUGGAGGAAGGUGGGGAUGACGUCAAGUCAUCAUGGCCCUUACGAGUAGGGCUACACACGUGCUACAAUGGCGCAUACAAAGAGAAGCGACCUCGCGAGAGCAAGCGGACCUCAUAAAGUGCGUCGUAGUCCGGAUUGGAGUCUGCAACUCGACUCCAUGAAGUCGGAAUCGCUAGUAAUCGUAGAUCAGAAUGCUACGGUGAAUACGUUCCCGGGCCUUGUACACACCGCCCGUCACACCAUGGGAGUGGGUUGCAAAAGAAGUAGGUAGCUUAACCUUCGGGAGGGCGCUUACCACUUUGUAUCGAGGGU
rnacentral:rRNA from 1 species